UACGUAGGGGGCAAGCGUUGUCCGGAUUUAUUGGGCGUAAAGAGCGUGUAGGCGGCUUCACAGGUCUGCUGUGAAAACUCGAGGCUCAACCUCGAGCUGUCGGUGGAAACCGUGGGGCUAGAGUCCGGAAGAGGAGAGUGGAAUUCCCGGUGUAGCGGUGAAAUGCGCAGAUAUCGGGAAGAACACCCGUGGCGAAGGCGGCUCUCUGGGACGGUACUGACGCUGAGACGCGAAAGCGUGGGGAGCGAACAGG
rnacentral:rRNA from 1 species